rnacentral:tRNA from 2 species
GGGAUAUUAGCUCAGUUGGUAGAGCACUUGACUUUUAAUCAAGUUGUCCGGGGUUCGAAUCCCCGAUGUCUCAC